GGAGAGAUAGCGAAGUGGCCAAACGCGACGGGCUGUAAACUCGUUGACUCACGUCUUCGAAGGUUCGAAUCCUUCUCUCUCCA
rnacentral:tRNA from 1 species